rnacentral:lncRNA from 1 species
GCUGGUCAGUGGGGCUAUCUCAUCAGAAAGUGUGGUUACAAGAUCAAAAAAAUCAGAGCAAAAGGACUCAAAUCCAAUGGCAAGGAAGACACAUUUCAAUUUGACUGAGUGUUCAUCACUGCUGCAUUCUAAAAUCCAUAAUGUAGUAUGUCAGGAUGACCUAUGCAGUUGUGUUAGAAUCCAGUCCCUACAUUCCCAUUCUCUCCUCCCCACUGAAGGGGAUGACCAAGAUGUUCAGUUCUCCAGUCACCUUUCUUCGUAGGUUGUCAAGCCUCUGCUCUUCAAGCACAAUAUCCUAUUGAACUGACCAGAUUUGAUCAAGCUGUACUUAACUUACUGUCAAUGCAGCAGACCCAUUUUCCAAUGAUGCAAUAUGGGAUUCAAUGACAUUGAUUCCACCUCUACAGAGGUGAAAGAUUGUUACUGGGCACACCUGAACGUAACUGGCUCAAAUUACUUAUCAUGAAGUCACUAUUCGAAAUUACUUAAUUGGCUGCCUAAUUAGGCCUCUAGGCUUCAAAAUCAAUUAGCAUGAUCAGUUAUCUCAGGCACAGAUCAAAAUAGUCAUCCCAGAGAAAGGGUUUACGGAGAGACAGGUUGUCAUCCUUGGAUCUAGAGCCAUCAAUAGCCUCACCCAAUAUC